AUUAGUGGCGAACGGGUGAGUAACACGUGAGGAACUUGCCCAUGAGCGGGGGACAACAUUCGGAAACGGAUGCUAAUACCCCAUAGGUGGAUUGGUCGCAUGACGAAUUCAUUAAAGGUGGCUUUGCUACCACUCAUGGAUAGCCUCGCGGCGUAUUAGCUAGUUGGUAAGGUAAUGGCUUACCAAGGCAGUGAUACGUAGCCGACUUGAGAGGGUGAUCGGCCACACUGGGACUGAGACACGGCCCAGACUCCUACGGGAGGCAGCAGUAGGGAAUCUUCCACAAUGGGUGCAAACCUGAUGGAGCAAUGCCGCGUGAGUGAAGAAGGUCUUCGGAUCGUAAAGCUCUGUUGUUAGAGAAGAACACGUGCUAGGUAACUACUAGCGCCUUGACGGUAUCUAACCAGAAAGUCACGGCUAACUACGUGCCAGCAGCCGCGGUAAUACGUAGGUGACAAGCGUUGUCCGGAUUUAUUGGGCGUAAAGGGAGCGCAGGCGGUCUGUUUAGUCUAAUGUGAAAGCCCACGGCUUAACCGUGGAACGGCAUUGGAAACUGACAGACUUGAAUGUAGAAGAGGAAAAUGGAAUUCCAAGUGUAGCGGUGGAAUGCGUAGAUAUUUGGAGGAACACCAGUGGCGAAGGCGAUUUUCUGGUCUAACAUUGACGCUGAGGCUCGAAAGCGUGGGGAGCGAACAGGAUUAGAUACCCUGGUAGUCCACGCCGUANACGAUGAGUGCUAAGUGUUGGGGGCUUUCCGGCCCUCGGUGCUGGAGCUAACGUAUUANNNACUCCG
rnacentral:rRNA from 1 species